rnacentral:rRNA from 1 species
UACGGGGGGGGUAAGCGUUGUUCGGAAUCACUGGGCGUAAAGCGCACGUAGGCGGAUUGUUAAGUCGGGGGUGAAAUCCUGAGGCUCAACCUCAGAACUGCCUCCGAUACUGGCAAUCUCGAGUUCGGAAGAGGUUGGUGGAACAGCUAGUGUAGAGGUGAAAUUCGUAGAUAUUAGCUAGAACACCAGUGGCGAAGGCGGCCAACUGGUCCGACACUGACGCUGAGGUGCGAAAGCGUGGGGAGCAAACAGG